AGCAGCCGCGGUAAUUCCAGCUCCAAUAGCGUAUAUUAAAGUUGCUGCAGUUAAAAAGCUCGUAGUUGAAUUUCGGGACUAAUAUGUCGGUCGUGCCUCGGUACGUACUGGUUUAUUGGUUUCUCCUUUCUGAAGAACCAUGAUGUCAUUUAUUUGGUGUCGUGGGGAAUCAGGACUGUUACUUUGAAAAAAUUAGAGUGUUUAAAGCAGGCUCACGCUUGAAUACAUUAGCAUGGAAUAAUGAAAUAGGACGUUUGAUUCUAUUUUGUUGGUUUCUAGGAUCGACGUAAUGAUUAAUAGGGAUAGUUGGGGGCAUUAGUAUUCAAUUGUCAGAGGUGAAAUUCUUGGAUUUAUUGAAGACUAACUACUGCGAAAGCAUUUGCCAAGGAUGUUUUCAUUAAUCAAGAACGAAAGUUAGGGGAUCGAAGACGAUCAGAUACCGUCGUAGUCUUAACCAUAAACUAUGCCGACUAGGGAUCGGAUGAUGUUAAUUUUUUAAUGACUCAUUCGGCGCCUUACG
rnacentral:ncRNA from 4 species